rnacentral:rRNA from 1 species
CUUAGUUCGGAUUGGAGUCUGCAACUCGACUCCAUGAAGCUGGAUUCGCUAGUAAUCGCGCAUCAGCCAUGGCGCGGUGAAUACGUUCCCGGGCCUUGUACACACCGCCCGUCAAGCCAUGGGAGCCGGGGGUGCCUGAAGUACGUGACCGCGAGGAGCGUCCUAGGGCAAAACUGGUGACUGGGGCUAAGUCGUAACAAGGUAGC